AAGGCGUUUUUGAAACUUACGGUAUUCUGACCUCUUCGCGCAGCUCAGCGUCUACGGUCAUUCUCUUCCCUGUUUUUAUGUUUUCAAACAUAUGGCACUCUGGCAUUUUGUCGCUGUUUUUUUCGUUGGGCGUUGAGCCCCUUCAGCUCUGGUCGCAGCACCACGAAGGAACGGAAAAGAGCGUCAUACGGUUCACAACGGAUGAAAUUCUGGAAUCGACGGUGCUGGAAUUGUACGCACAAAGCGAGGCACAGCUCCCGUCCACUUUUAUCCGGUGCCCGGCGGAAGUGGACUCCCCUCAACUUAAGAAGUCUCUAGACAUCAAGCUGCCCUAUUUGGUCCUCCAGAUAAAAAAUCUGGAGAAGUACUUUUCGUUCGAGUUCGAAAUCCUGGACGAUCAGAAGCAAAUCCGGAGGUUCAGAGCGUCGAACUGGAUAUCCAAAACGGACGUCUUGCCGGAAAUCUGUCUCCUCCCCCUCCAGCUGGAUCCGGACUGGGUCUCCAUAUCUAUCGACCUCGCCAACCUGUGCAAGAGAACGUACGGGACGGCCUACAAGCACUUCCUCAGAAUCCAGGUUCACGCCUCUUGCAGAAUAAGGAGAAUAUACAUGAACGACGCGCUCAUUCAGGAUCAAGACCUCCCGGCGGAGUUGAAGCUCUACGCCCCUAAAAAAUAACGAAUUUCCCUCUCAAUAUAUAUAUAU